AAGUCGUAACAAGGUUUCCGUAGGUGAACCUGCGGAAGGAUCAUUAAUGAAGUCUGGGUUUUAAACCCUCUCUCUUCUACACACUUGUGAACUUACACUGUUGCUUUGGCAGGUCUCCUGAAGGAUGUAAAUCCCGACGGCCAGGUCGAAAGACGCCUGCCAAAGACAUUUAUCCACCCUUUUUUAUUGUCUGAUUUUGUUUUAAACAAAUUAUAAAAAAA
rnacentral:misc_RNA from 1 species